GGAACACUUUAUCUCCUCACUUUAUUGUUACAGUUGGAUAUAACUAUGUAUGCCUGUCCCUUUUUUCACAUUCUAGUUCCAACUGACCCGACACCAGCAAAGAUUCCAAUUGGCGACCCGACCCGACCCGACCCGACGCGUACAGCUCAGCCUUGUUUGCUUUUGAAUUUGAAAUUCAAAAUUUGUACCAAAAUAGCACGAAUCCAGCUCAUCCAUGUGACCUUAUCUAUCAGUCUUUUAAAAUUUCAAAAAUGUCCCUCACAAUUUUCAUCCCACAUCCUAAAAACCAACAAUUCAAUUCCAAAAUCUUUUGUAUAUAUAUUCCUAUUGUUUUCACUAAAAGGUGUGAGAGGUCGGAUAGUAGGAACCCCAAAAAAGCAUAGGAUUUUGCUAUCCGAAGAAAAUUUCAGUGCUAAGAAAUUCAGUAAGACUCAUUUAAGCUCGAAAUUCUAAGCUAAGGAAUUGAGUUCGUUUUUUGGUGGUAACGAGGAUUCCGUUGAGCUCGAAAUUUUGAUUUACUGCCCCUGAAAAGGUAAAGAAAAAGAAUUUGAGAAGAUAUCAUCUAAAACACUUCAGAUCAAGAAAAAAGUUUAGACUUCUCAAGUUAAGAGUCGUGUUUAUGCUAAAAGGAGUAAUCUGUAAUCUCGCAAAACUGAGUGCAACAGAGAGCCUAUCAAGUUCCAUGAAGCAAUGAGAUAUUUGCUCCUUUUGUAUAUAGCUUCAUAAGAGCUGGUUGGUGGCGAAGAAUCAACGGUGAUGCCUGCUGCUUGCGGAAUAGAGAUGAUAAUCUCUGUGUAUGAUGCACGAUGACCUUCCCUGCAUGGACAAUAGUGGUCUCCGUAGAGGAAAGUUGUGACAGCAUGAGGUAUUUGGCGAAAAUGCCACUGUUGCAAGUGGUUAUUCCCUUUUAGCCUUAGCAUUUGAGCAUAUUCGUACCCCCGUCUUGUAAAAUUCACAGAUUGUACAAUGCAUACAACUUUGUUCGUGCAUCUUCUUCUCACUUACAAACAGUAGUGAUAUAUUUUACUUAAAAAAUUGCAUUUUGUCUACUUCAA